rnacentral:lncRNA from 1 species
CCUGGCCUCAAGCAAUCCUCCCACCUUGGCCUCCCAAAAUGCUAGGAUUACAGGUGUGAGCCACUACACCCAGCCUACUUAAUUUCAAUCACCAAGCACAACUCAACCUUCAAUAAUUCCCAGCAAUCCUAUUAAAUUUUUCUGGAUUGUUCUCCCACUCUCGACAACUCUUUCACACCUUUGCAGUUUCCUCAAACUUCAGCCCUGCCCUUUCACAUCUUCUCAAAACAUGUGACUUUUAGUCACAGAGGAAUUUGAAAAUAUCAGGACCAAUGUGACUUGAGACAUGCUGAGCAAAGAAGAGGGUGUUAAGGGAUAAAGUCAGAGAAAGCAGAUCAAGGUAGGGGGCCAGUAGGGGCCUUGUAGGUCAUCUUAAGAAGUUUACAUUAUUCCAGUGGCAAUUAUUAACGAGUUUUAAGCAGAAGAGUGAAACUAUAUGAUCUGUGUUUUUAAAAAGAUAACUGACUGCUUUAUGGUGAAUGGACUACGAAAACAAAGCAAUUAUGAGGCUAUCUCAGUAGUCCAGGUGUUCAUGAAAACUUGAAGGUUGUGUGGAGCAGAAGGAAGAGGGGGUCUGAUAUGCAUGUUCUCCGUGGCACUCCUUAUCUAGGAUUUCUCUAGGGCAAAUGCUCAUUUUACCUCCCACAUCCCCAGUGGUAACUCAGCCUUUAAUACUUCAUGGCAAGAUAGGAUUGAUGUUGGAAUCCAGCUAAAUUGGAUACAAAUGGUACAAUGCAGCUUGGUUAUGAAUGAAUAAAGGACUGCAACAGGAAGCAAAAAUCUUUAGGACUUGAAGAUUGUAGUAAUAGUAAACCCAGAAAUAGCAGCACCUGAUAGGACCACACAGCCCCAAAGUUUUCAGAAAUGAAAAAGCUUUCUUUUUUUGUCUUUUUGUUUUCUCUCUUGGUUUUUUGGUUCUUUUGGUUUCAUUUGAGACAAUACCAUGAUUUAGUAGGCAUAGUCACCUCUUCCACCCCAGGAACCAAAUGCCACUCCCUACAGUUAUUUUGCAAAGUGGCAUCACAGACAUCUUUAGUAAAGUAAUAAUGGAGAGCUUG